rnacentral:rRNA from 1 species
AUUGAACGCUGGCGGCAUGCCUUACACAUGCAAGUCGAACGGUAACAGGUCUUCGGAUGCUGACGAGUGGCGAACGGGUGAGUAAUACAUCGGAACGUGCCUAGUAGUGGGGGAUAACUACUCGAAAGAGUGGCUAAUACCGCAUGAGAUCUACGGAUGAAAGCAGGGGAUCGCAAGACCUUGUGCUACUAGAGCGGCCGAUGGCAGAUUAGGUAGUUGGUGGGAUAAAGGCUUACCAAGCCGACGAUCUGUAGCUGGUCUGAGAGGACGAGCAGCCACACUGGGACUGAGACACGGCCAAGACUCCUACGGGGGGCAGCAGUGGGGAAUUUUGGACAAUGGGCGCAAGACUGAUCCAGCAAUGCCGCGUGCAGGAUGAAGGACUUCGGGUUGUAAACUGCUUUUGUACGGAACGAAAAGCCCCGGGUUAAUACCCUGGGGUCAUGACGGUACCGUAAGAAUAAGCACCGGCUAACUACGUGCCAGCCGCCGCAGUAA